CGUAGGGUGCGAGCGUUAAUCGGAAUUACUGGGCGUAAAGUGUGCGCAGGUGCCCGCGCAAGUCGAGUGUGAAAUCCCCGAGCUUAACUUGGGAAUUGCGCUCGAAACUACGUGGCUCGAGUGUGGCAGAGGAAGGUGGAAUUCCACGUGUAGCGGUGAAAUGCGUAGAGAUGUGGAGGAACACCGAUGGCGAAGGCAGCCUUCUGGGCCAACACUGACGCUCAUGCACGAAAGCGUGGGGAGCAAACAGGAUUAGAUACCCUGGUAGUCCACGCCCUAAACGAUGAUGACUAGUUGUUGGGGGAGUUAAAUCCCUUAGUAACGCAGCUAACGCGUGAAGUCAUCCGCCUGGGGAGUACGGUCGCAAGAUUA
rnacentral:rRNA from 1 species